CAUUUCUCAGCCACCAAGUGGAGUCAAUUUCAGAGGUAUAAGUGCCUUAAUGUGUUAAUUCUUCUUGCUUCUAAUAGUAGCAUUUUUUUACUAUCUUAUUCCUUACAUCCUUUCCAGGCCCACCUUACGUGGGAAGGACUGAAACUUCACCCAGACUUUUCUAGCCAGAGACACUAGCAGAACGAAGGCUCAAGGACUUAUGGGUAUGAAUCAGAGUGUGCUGGCUGGGUCUAAGCUAGUAAUUGGUUGGACAGUGAGGCCAAAAGGACACAAGUAGACUAGAUCAGUGGUUAUCGACCUGUGGAUUGCAACCCCUUAGGUGCAGUAUUUCAGAUAACCUGCACAUCAGGUAUUUAUGUUAUGAUCUUUAACUAGCAAAGUUACAGUUCUGAAGAAGCAACAAAAUAACUUUAUGGAUGGGGGUCACCACAACCUGAGGAACUGUAUUAAAGGGUUGCAGUAUUAGGAGGGUUGAGAAUCACUAGACUAGAGGGAAAUGAAGGAAAUCAAGCGAUGAGAUGAUCUGAAUGAGGCUAAUGAUCAAGCGAAGGGGAGUGGAGAUAAGUCUGGAAGUGUAAGGGGUUCAGCUUGAAAGGGAGUUAGAAAGUUAAGAUGUCAGAGGUGGAACGUUUCUGAGAGAUGCUAAGGAUAGUCAGGGGAUAGGGCACUGUAUUAGACAAGGUUCAAGAACUGGAAGGUAUAUUGAUGGAUGGGUUCUCCAUGUGAUAAAGACACCAAUUUGUACAAAGGGCAAUGGUCUGGAUGCUGCAGAUGCCAACAGAUGAAGGAACUACUGGAAGUUUAGUAGGAAAUCAUAAUGCACAGGGCAUGGGGCAUCUCAGAGGACAACUAGGUCUUACCAAGGAGAGUUAUUCUAGUUUGAGAAUAUCCCAUGGAAGAUUUAUGAGAGAAAAGACAGCCUCUUUAUCAUUUAAAUCACAGCAGAAAGUAGAUGGUCCACCUAUGGGGGAACUUAAGGUGCAUAUGAUAAAUGAAUUACUGUCCCAGGCAAGGCCCAAGCAUAGGGAAUCUGGAAGUAAUAGCAAAGCCAUGAGCUUCAGAGAAGCUCCUCCCUCCCCAGAUACAGAUAUAGGGACCCUCAAGCCUACUCCACUUGACCCCUGACCCCAUCCACAUUCUGCCUCUUAUCUUCUCUCAAAACUGUUAAACUUUUGAAAUCUUAGCCUGUUGUAUGAUGUUUAAACCAGGCUUUUACUUUAUCGCGAGAUUGUAAUCUGCCCGACUAGCUCCAAUCACAACAGAGUGGAAACAGACCUCUGCUUUGGAGCAUUUUAACACUGUCCAGCCCUCCAUCAGGAGCUUUUGCUUCCUGGAGAAAAACAAGAUAACAUGAAGGGCAAGUCAAUCCAAGUCUAGCCUGACAGACAGUAGGGUAGUUCUAGGAGCUCAGUGAUCACUGAAACCAAGCCUUCCGAGCUUCUCAGAAACUUCCUAACUACUGUUUGAACUCUCGUUUCUAACAAAAGACUUACUUUCUCUGGAUCUCGAUUUCAGUUAGUCUUCACUUGCUCAAGAAAGUAAUUUUUAUACCUAGUCAGGCAACAAUGGCCCAAAGUAUCAGGCAAGGUGGCAUACGUCUACAGUGUCAGCAUUCAGGAGGCUGAGGCAGGAGGAUUGGAAAGUCAACUUAGGCUAUAUAGCAGGACCCUGUGUGGAAAAUAAAAAACAAAACAAAAUGAAACAAAAAUGGUCCAAAGUAAGAUUAGACCCAAACAUUGUGUCAAGAUGUAGAAUAAGUAGACCGAACUAUCCAAUGGCAGAAGUCACUACAGAAUCUAAUUAUUGAUGAGUAACCCAUCAAUGGGUGGGUUGAGCUGGUGGGUUUCUGUGUAAUGCAGGGUUCCCUGCAGAACUGCAAGUGAUAGGGGAAUAAGAGUAGUAGUUGGGGGAUCUUCUUAUCUGAUCCAAGAAGUCCUUUGAGGCUUGGGACUUUGCCCCCUGCUUGGAACGCUCUUUGUCCUCUCCUUCAUUUGCUCACUGGACAACUCCACUUCAAAAGCUUCCCUCCCAAGUAAAGCAAGGGUCACAACUGACCUAAGGCAGUUUGAAGAGACACAGCAUGAGUAGCUCUUGGUUAGUAGGGUGAUUUAGCCCUCCAGAAUAAGACAGCGGGAACCACAUCAGUGUCCAUGAAAGCGUUAACAUAUUUCCUAAAGGAUGCGGUUUUCCAGCAGGACAUCCGAGACUGGCUGCCGAAUGGAAGUGUGCCGCACGCAGUUCCAGCUGCUUCAAAUUAUGUUUUCCAGGAGAGAAAUGUACAGCCCUCUGACUCCAAAAAUAUGUGUCGGUCUUAGCCAAAAAUACAUUUGUUCUUGGAUUCAUAAAAAUGCGGGCCACGUGAAAUAUGUGAGGAGCAUGCACUCUCGUGCAAAAUACUGACUGAAAGGAAGAAAGGAACUCUUUAAAAGCUUUCACUGAGAAGCAGCAAGGAUGGUUCAGCUUUGCGUGUAGGUGGGAAACAGAAUGGGAAGUAAGAACGCUUUGCCCUUGAGUGGAAAUUUUUCUGGACCGCCCUCCUAGCAUCCCGGAAAAGCCCUGAGCAGCUAUAGGGCAGACUCUCCCACUCCUGCAUGGGCUGACUCAUAAAGCCAGAGGCAAGGCCUAUCACAACUCCAAACUCUUGUUUUUGAUAUCUGUGAGGGGUUUUCAACAUGUCUGUGUUCAGGAGACAGUUUGAUUUUUCUUUUUCUCUAGUUCACCAUGGACCAGUGCUCUUAUGAAAUUAUAAUAAGAGUGGAUUACUAAAAACAAAGGAAACACAAAUGAUCUAUAACAUGAGCCUCUGUUUUUGAAAUUGCUUUAGAUUCAACACACGUAAAGUUAUGUUGGCAAAUUGUAGCCAGAGGUUAUUUUGACAGAGUGACUAGGACAGGAAGUCAAAGCAGCAGCAUAGACAUCCCUGUUUCCUCUCCCCACACAAGUGGACUUUUUGGGGCUGCCCAUACUAUAUGGACUGGGUCCCGCCAUGUCCCUGAAGCAAGAAAAAGAGACCCCUGUAGAGGCCAGGAGACGCAGACUAGGAGGAGAUAGAAUGUUCCAGGAGAGCCUCAAAGGUAAGGAGAGAACAGAGGCCCAGCACCAACUUCUUCAUGACAAGACUCAAAGGGCAAAAGUACUUUGAGAACACAACAGUGUCACCAGAGCCAACAUGGACAGCAACUGCUAUAUGCAGGGCUAGGCAAGAAUCUGGUGACCAGUGACCACAUGCCUUCCCACAGCAUGUGCCCCAGAGAGUAUCCUCACUUAACAGCAGCAAGCUCUCGGGUAACCUGUCUCUCUCCUCACUCAUUGGAUUUUCUCUAUCACAGGCAAGGAUGGACUGGGCAUCUUGUCAGACCUCAGUUUACUAGCCUGGAAAAGCAAUGCUUCUUCUGAGGGUUGCUGAAAAGGCAAUGUGGGUUGAGAGGGGCUCUGAGUUCAUGUCUUUAGAUAACUUGAGAUUCCCACGAUCCCACUGAGCCCAGGGAGGCACCUAGAAGGAGAAAAGUAUAAACUGAGUUAAAGCUGAUAACUCUUUCUCUUUUGAACACUGGAGAAGUGAAUGUUCCAGAAUCAGUUGGGCACAAUCUAAGGAUAAUACGGCAAGUUUAGCACACCAAGACUAACCCAACAUGGCUGGGAAAGGCAGAGUGAUGGUGAUGUGUUUUUUAUGUUUCUAAUAAUUUUAUCCCUUCAAUUGCUACAGGUUUCCAUAAAAACAUGUUUAGAGAACCCUCAAAAAGGAAAAUUUAAAGGGUAGCUAAUUGACAACCCUAACCCCAUCUGCACCCUCAAUUCUCUCUUACCAUGCAAUACAGAACAGGCAAACUGAGUAUCUUCGAAUUCCUGGGAGCCAGGAUAUGGACAUCUUUGGGGAAAGGGUCAAUAUCCUGAUUAGACCAUCACCUAAUGUCAUUCAUUCAGUUGGCAUUCACUGGACACUCAUUCCACGCAAUGCAUAGGUUUAAACUCAAAGAAUUCAACAGUGUGGAAGGUAGAGAGGGUCCUAAGUUUGUACUUGAGAUGAGCAAGCCAACGUUACAGGAAUUAUUGCUAAGUCCUAACAAGACCAUAGAGCUCUCUGGGACUCCUGAUGUCAACGGAGGUGGGAGCAUUUAACAUACAGAUACAAUGCUCACAUGCUGAGAGAAUGGGGCAAAGCCCAAUGGGACAGAGGAGAAAUUCUAGAUUCCAAAGUGAGACACUUAUGUCCUCCAUGACCUGCAGGUCGCAAUGCUGAGUAUGUAAUCCUGAGUCGUCUUUAGCAAGCUCUAAACUCAAGGAUCUACCUUUGCGAUAUCCAGGCAACAUAAGUCACUGUUUUGAGUGCAGUCAAUGAACACAAUGGUCAUUUAUUAGAUUUGUAUUUUUUUACUACAGUUGAUUUAAUCUACAUUAAAAAAAAAAUUCCCGAUCAGAGCUGUGAGAUGACUCACAAGGUCAGGAUGACAGCUGCUAAACCUGGUGCCCUGGGUUCAAUCCCUGGACUGCAGAUGAGCAGAGAACUGACUCCUCAUUUUCUCAUGUGUGACACGGCACUGCUUUAACUCCUGAAUACACAGGAAAAGGCACUCAAGGCAAAUAAACGUAUCCUAGGAUAGUUCCAGUAGACUGGAUGGUCAGUUAUCCUGCCCGCUGCUCUCUCUUCAAAGGAGCCUGCCCUGUGAGGUACCUGCAAUACGAAGUAUGACCACGUUGCCCAACCCGGCAUGGAGAAUAGCCUCCCCGUCCCCCACAGUAUGUGUCAGGCUCUCCUGGAGAUGGUUGUCUGACCAGUGCAGUGGGGACACUCUGGAAUAAACACAAUUGACAGACUCCUUUCCUCUUUCUGCACAGGGAAAUUUACAGAUUAAAUUUCAAAUGUGCCACACACCACUGAGGAGGGUGAAGAGGCGGGCCUGAAGCCAGAAGUGGAUGCAUCUGUGUGUGGCAGAAACGGCCAGGGAGAGCCAAUUGUCCAGGGUUGAUCCUGUGAGAGAGAGGGAGAGCGGCUCUCCGUGGCCAGUUCAGCGCACUCUGGGCUGAGGCAGAGGAAUGUGAGGAACUCCUGGGCAGGAAGACCAAGAGCAGUUUGUUUGAACUUCCGGCCACUUCUCAAUCUUGUGAGACUGAAAAAGAGCCAACUGGGAAACAGUUUCGUAUUUCCCUAUGAAUAUGACACCGAAGCUGAAGAUUUACAGAAACUCUAGGGGGCAGUGGGCCAGUGGCAGUCCUGCAUCUACGGUUUGCACAGCCGCAAAAGGGAGUUUCUGUGUAGGCUCGGGCUCCAGAGGAGGCAGGCGAGGCCUGACGUCAGCGCCUCUUCCAAGUUUGAAGAGAGAUGCCACACCCUCUCCCAGGACACACAGAUCCCCUUACCACCCCACCCUGGUUUUCCAGAGCCUUCUGAAAAGUGCCAGCCUUCCGCCUAUGAAAGAGAAACCAUCCCUUUGGAAAGAUGCAGUCUAGCGUUUUGGGCGGGGAUGACAGACGUAUACGUCGCUGCUUGGCUGACGUGGAGGCGCUUGAACAGACUUUGCGGUGGCUUGGGUUUUGGCAUCCGACUUUUGUUUCCAUCCUUGUUUUGAGCUGAUUUAGGGAGUUUCUCUUUUUUAAGCAGGAAUAUAUUUUAGAUGUGUAACGUGCUUGGUUGCUUCCAACAAACUUUGAAAAACCUCUUUGUUCUCACCGUGCCAACUUGUAGGCCACCCAAAACGUCCAGUUUCCCAAAAAGCCCACCACUUGAGAUGAAAAGAUUAGACCCAAAACAUAUUGGGUGUAGAUUUUCAUAGCAAGUGGAUAUGAGUUCACUGGGACAACGUGGUUCUAACUGGCCAGUGUGCACAGUAAUGGGAAAGGACUGUUGCCACAGAACCGUAUUAGUGGGACCUACACCCGAUAUUCAGACACUGGUGGCACAGGUGCCAACAUCUGGAGGUUCCACCGAGAUCGGGAAAAAGAGGACAACCUGACGGGAUCGUUCCAAAAGGCUGGCCGGCAAGGAAGCAGUACGUAUUGGGGACAAGCGGCAACCACGGGGCAAAACUAGAAGUAAGUAGCGCUACAAAGGUUUUGUCUUAGCCGUGGGAACUAAAAUGUUUUGUGUAUGUGUUCUUUUAGAGUUAUGCUAAAAUCUAGAGAAGCAAAGUUAAUUCUCAUUGAUGCUUUUAAUCUUUGGACCCUGAUUAGAGACAGUUUACACCCCAGACAAGAGAGAGAAUGGGGUUGAGAAAGCUUUUUUGGAGCUCUCCUGGGGACAGAAGGAGGUGGGGAGACGCCUUGCCUCCUUGCUGGUAUUGGAGAAGUGCUUAUUUCUGGUUCUGGGUCCUUUAGGUAGGAUAUCUGGGUCCCUUUGGUGUGGGAUACCAUCUAGUUUUUUCCCUGUAUGUCUAUUGUCUGUCCUUGGUGUACCAAGCUGUCCAUGUAUGUCAAUUUAUGUCUGGGUUUUGCUUCUCGUUGCUUGAAUGUUUUGUGUUUCAUGGUUAAGAGAAAAAAAAAUGGUUAAAACUUUAAAUGCUGGUUGAUGUAGUUUUGACUCCUUUCAAGAAAGGAACAAUAAAUAAAAAACAGUUUCAAUUGGCUUUUGGAGCCCUUUAUCUGUAGCUAGAAGCCUAAGUCCACAGGGGAAACUCCCCAGGGGUCUGGCUAAAUGUUUACACUAGCAGAUCCUAAAGGCGCUAGGAGCUUCACAGCUUCUAUGGUAAUGGAACUGAUGGCUGUUUCUCUUAGAAAAAUCUUUGACUGUGAUUAUUGGACUCAACAGGUGACAAGGUGUUUCUCUUAAAACGACAGCUAGAAAAAGUAAAAAUGGUGAUUGAUUUAAAUAUUAAAAGAUAUCUGUAGUCACUUCACUUUUGUUUCUGAUUAGUUUUAAAUUUAUAAUACGCUCUACAAGUCUUGGUUAUAGUUCACUAACCUUUAAGUUAUUGGAUAUGGUUAAAAACUUGUAGCAUUGGUAACAGAAAGUUGGCUUAAAACUGAAGUCAUUCUAGAAAACCCGUGGCAUGAACCAACCCAGAGAAGCAGGUCUAAAUUGGCAUAAUAUUUUAAUUUAAUUCUUAUCCUAGAAACCAGACUUGCAAAAGAAUUUAGGGCAAUGUCUCUUUGUUGAGGAAUUAGAGCCCACACCAUCGUUCGUUCAUAUGCAAGAAUUGGCAGUCAAACUUUAAAGCAUGAGGAAUGGACUUGAUGUUUUGGAGAGACUGGAUUUUGGAGAAUAUAUGGUUUGUUGGAGGUUGAGUUUUGCUUUCCAAAGUUAUAGUUGUGCUCUGGUGUUACAAGGGAAACUUAAAGAUUGUGGUUAAAGAUUGCCAGUGUUACAUUGGCUACAGUUUAUAGUUUGAUCACAGACAGGCUCAAGAUUCUAACUUGCACAUAUUUGUAAUUAAGAAAAAAAUCAAACAGGUGGAGAAUGUUACAGGAUUUAUGAAAGGUCGAUGAGGCUAUGGAACUUAUAGGAGCAUUACACCCUGUUUGCUCACUCCAACUGCUAUUUCAAGAAAUACAUAUACAAUUAUUAUAGAUUUAAAAGAUUGUUUUUAUGCUCUUUCUUUACAUCCUGGCAAUUGUGAAGGAUUUUCAGUUAGUGAGCUUGCUUAUAAUUUUGGAGAGCCCAUGAAGUGAUACCAUUGGAAAGUUUUGCCUCUAGGAAUCAUUUUUGGCCCUACGUUAUGUAAAUUUGUCACUGCUUCAAUACAAGAAGCUAAGACUUUGAAUCUUUCAGUGUAUAUUAUUCAUUAUAUAGACAUUUAAAUUUUACUACAAGCUUUUACUCUUACAACGUGCUUUAAAUUUUUGGGAGUAGCUGCUGCUCCAGAAAAGAUUCAAUAUUCCUUUUCAAUAUUUGAGACAUUGGUCAAUAAGAAGAGAAAAAAAUUUUCUAAAAUCUGUGCUAUGCGUGUUGGCACCCCGUUUCCCUUUUGGUUCGGAAUGGGACUAAGGCAGUGUCAAGGGAGGAGAUUCUCAAUUGUUCUUCCAGGUCCUAACCUACCGACCGAUUGCUGGGAACAAGAAGAUUCUGCAUGGAUUGUUUGAGUUCCUGGUGUGAUUCCCCAUACCUCUGGAUGAAGGCUGAUUCCCAGUGGUACUCUGCAGGCAUAAAAGAGACUUUGGCAUUACUGUGACAGUCAUUGCUGCCAUCGCCAUUUCAGCCACUGCUGCUGCAGUGGCUGGUGUGGCCAUAUCUCAGUCGGCAGCUGUCAUUGGGACUGUGGAUACGUUGUCUGGAGAAGUCUCCACGGCAUCGACUCUGCAGAAUAACGUUAAUAUUCAGAUUCAGUUGGCCAUUCUUGAUCUCAACCAACAAACUGCUCUCUAUUGGACUUCUCUGGGAAACCCAUGUUAUGUCUUAUUCUAUCUUUUAUCAUUCUAUGUGUGUAACCCCUGUUAAGGUCCUUCAUAGCAGCAAGGCUGUUGGGGAUGAAUGCUUAUCUUGAUUGCUCCCUCGUAGCAGCUGUCCUUGGGCUGUUUUGAAGUAUCAACAGAUCCAGUCUCAGGCUAAAACCAAGCAGGUUCGGUUUUCAUUAGCCGGGAAUAAUCCAUCGGUCCAAAUUAGGCUCAGUUUGUAUGACAAUUAGUUAGCCAAAGACGGACAACCUUCUGGGACCAUAUUUGCCCAAGACAAAAAUCCUGAGGCUGGCAGGAUUUUCAGAGAUGGGAAAGAGUUUUGAAACCCCAGAUUGAUCCUAAGACAGGCGCUACUUAAAAAAUAAAAUAAAGGAGGGGGAAUUGUUGGGCCCUACCUUGGUGUUUCCCUCUCCCCUCGCUGAGCCUUUUAGCCUGCUAUAGCAAGAAGUUGUUUACACCCUUGGCAGCUGCUCUUAGCCCCUGAUUUGGGGCCGGGACUUUCCACCACACAGACUUUUCCUGUUUUCCUGUUUGGGGAUUUUCACCUGCCUUGUUGUUUUCCACGGCUUUUGCCUCCGGUAUAUAAGGAGAACUCAGUAAAGCCUUGGUGGCACUCUCUGAAAACGGGUGACCUGUGUACAUGUUUUCUUUCAAUCCCGCAGACCUAUGCCCGAUAUUCACACACUGGCAGCUCAGGCGCUGACAGACCCUUCCCACACUUGUGCUUUUUCCUUUCAUUGGUGACCCAUAGAUUUUAAACAAAACUGUCUGAAUGGCCACACAUUUGGAUCCAUCCUGGAGGUCUCAUUAUUUGGCUCAAAAUUGAAGGCAAUGGCAGUCUCUCUCCCAGAAUCCAUCAGUUCAACGCCAGUCGUUCAGGAAGCAGGGUUCCAUGAGCCCUUCUGCAGUUGACAGUGAUUGGCAGUUGACAGACCCAGUGAUGUGCCAGUCUAAUGCAGGCAAUGUCAGCUGCUGUGGUCAUGUCUACAAUUGUUAUGAGAAUAUUAGUCAACCCAUCUUCAGGCUCCUACAUUCUUAAGCUCGCUUCUCCAUGGUGUUCCCUUAGAGGGGGCUGCAUAAAUGACAUGUCUAGGGCUGACAACUAUCAUUUAUGUGAGCAUCUUGAACAAACAUGAGUCUAUGUGUUCAUUGCCUAGAGAUAGUUUUCUGAUGAAGGAUGGGAACAGCAUUUGCCUAUGGGUAUAAACAAUAUUUAGAAGGCAGUGUGGUACCAAGUCAAUUUGUCUAAACAACAGCAACAAGUUCCCCUGAGAGAUGUUCCUCAAAAUACUGGGAAUAGAGCCACCAUGUGACCAUGCAUGCUUCAUAUUGUUUUGUCCCACCACAAUGAUUCUACCUCCUAUUACAGAGACACUUGUUCACCCAUAGUCAUCUACUCCAUCCAUCCCACCACAAUAGGAUCAGUAGCGAGAAGGUGGCACAUUUUAUUCUUCUGUGAAAUAAGUGAAAAUUUUGGGUAAACAGAUGGAGCUGGAAAUAUAUAUUGAGUAAGGUAACUCAGGCCUGGAGAGACAAAUGCUGUGUGUUAUCUCUCACACAUGUAUGUGGAUGCUGUCUCAAAUCUUGUUAACUGGCAGCACCCAUAGAAGCCAGGAAAUUAGAAAGAGGUUGUUGGAGGGAAGGAUGUCUUUAGGGAGAGAGACUGGUAAAGUUUAAGUGAUCUUAAAGUACAGAGGAGAUCCUAGAGGUGGAGGAAUUCAAGCAGGUAAGCAAGUAGGAGGUCAGAGAGAUGAGGGAGUAAGGAAGGACAGAAGCAAAAAACACAUAAAAAGCCAUUUAUAAGACAAUUUAAAAAGAUGCAUUAAAGCUGGGAGUGGUAGUGCACUCAGGAGGUAGAGGCAGGUGGCUCUCUGUGAGUUCAAAGCCAGACUGGGCUAAUAUAGUGGUUUCCAGGACAGCCAGUGCUAUGUAGAGAGACCUUGUAUCAAAAAACAAAACAAAAUGACAAUAACAACUGCAGUGCUUUGAAUAUGCUUGGUCCAGGGAGUGGCACUACUAGGAGGUGUAGCUUUGUUGAAUUAGUUAUGUCACUGUGGGCAUGGGCUUUAAGACCCUUGCCAUGGCUGCCUGGAAACCACUCUUCUAGCUGCCUUCAGAACAACAGGUGGAACUCUCAGCUCCUUCUGCACCAUGCCUGCCUGGAUACUGCCAUGUUCCUGCCUUGAUUGAUAAUGGACUGAACCUCUAACCUGUGAGCCAGCCCCAAUUAAAUAUUGUCCUUAGAAGAGUUGCCUUGGUCAUGGUAUCUGUUCAUAGCAGUAAUACCCUAACUAAAACAACAAC